GGGAAUGUGGCUUAGUGGUAGAGUGCUUGCCUAGCAUGCAUGAUGCCCUGGGUUCAAUUCCUCAGUACCA
rnacentral:tRNA from 1 species